CCAGAACCUCUUCCUUCUUCUUCUUCGUAUACACCGCCGCCAACAACCAUUUCCUCUUCCUUCUUCUCGCCUCGACCACGAUCAUUACAAUGGUUGUCUUAGAAAACUGAGACCACAUUUGUGAUCAUUGUAAUCUCCUCUUUCAUUCUCAACCUAAAUCGUAAAUUGAAACAUCUUAUUUCUCUUUGUCAAAAAUCACACCUCCACCUUUGGAUCAAGAUUUCAGCCACCACGACUAUCACAAACGAAAACUAAGACCAUAUUUGGACUCCAUGAAACACCCUCUUCCGUUACCUAUGCUCGAAAUCGCCAAUCGUUACGUUUUAAAAAAUGGGUUUCCACCAUUGUCGCAGUUGUGUUGCCAUACUCCGGCCAACACGUUCAUCGUCUUGAAAAACUGACAUCAUUUUUGGAUUCCUCUCAUCGAAACCUUCAAGAAGCACUAUUCAUUUGCGUGUUUCGGUGAAGUUGAUGCCGGACCCUGUCGGCGCCCCAGUACGUCGGUGAGACCUUUUCUAAUAACAUGUUUCACGACGUUUUGAAUAUGUUUCUUCGCCUAAUAUUUUUAUUAAUUAUAUAAUGCUAAUUUUUAUGCCUCGGGAAAAUUAUCAGCCACGUUUCAUUGACUCUGCAAAUUCGUCGAUGCUUUUGGACUCGUUUGGACGUGUUGUCGACAUCUCAUGGUUGCUGAAAAUCAUUAUGGUCCUUCUAUCUUAUGAAAGCGUCAAAUUGAGGUAUGGGGUGAGAAUGAGUUCGAAUGCAUGAGUAUAAAUUAAGUGAGAUGAACGGGAAUACCGUAUUUCCCACAAUUCAUUCGGGGCUCGCUACGUAUGGCAGAAGCCCUUUGAGUAAUAAUUGACUAAUGAGCAAACUUGAAUUUUGUGAGGUUAAAAUAUGAAUUAGAAACUUUUAUAGGAUGUUGUUUGAUUUGAUUUUUGAAGAUCGUGUGAUAGUUGAAUUAUUGUAGAAUUGCGUAUUUUAUUUGAUUCAUUCCGUGUUUUGUUUAUAUCUAUCCUUGAUACUGAUAUAUGAUAUAAAAUGUGAUGAAUUGUAAUUAUUUGCCUUGCAAUUGAUGUGGUGUGUGUGAAUGAUCUAGUAUUAUUUUUAUAUGUGAGUGUAGACCCUUUAUUGUUUGAGAUGACGUAUCAUGAUGAUAAAUUCUGAAUUUAAUGUAUGACUAUGGAAAUCUGCAAUGAUGAUGUGUGCUCCUUGACUUGUGAUAUUACCACCUUGAUGAAUAUCAUGAAAUGCGUAUUGUGUUUAAUUGAAUAGUGACGAAUUCGACCCGUGCCAAUGAUGGUUCUCUUAAUGGAGUAAGUAACCUAGGACAACGAGGGGAGAAAGUAGUUGUUGAUAAUUUUUGAAGUGGAGAUUAUUUGGUCAUCAUAUAGGUAGGGCCUGACAAGCCUAGUGAUUAUGGGGAAGUACAACUGAAUGAGCCUGAUCGUGGCGGUCUACUGUUGAGCCUUAAGGCAAGAUUGUUAGACCUUGGAGGUAUCCGGGUGGGGAAUUCCUAGGUGACUUGGAGGUAGCACUCCAAAUGUCGGGAGCUACCACGCAACACACGUUUACCUCGACUGUCACGUAUAUGUGUCUCGGGUUGAGUUGAGGGAUCUAUGAGGACAGGGCCAAUUUGAAUUGUCCGUCCACCGGGAUGGUGGCAUAGUAUCAAGCCUCCUAACCAAGUACUUCAGAGUUAGAAUGGUACCAAAGAAAGAGGAGGAGUCUAGAGUAUAAGAGCAUGCAUAACAUUACUUGAUUUGUGUAUUUACUUACUUGAUGUUGUGGAUGGUAUCAAUGUUUUACCUUGAUUAUUCUUGUUGGUUGUGAUUUGAUAUGAUACAGCGUUUAAUAUUUUUUUACAUGUUCUUCUCAGUGAUUUUAUACUAUUACAUGUUUUCGAAGCUCACCCCUCGUUGCUUGUGUUUGGCGCUUGCGAGAGCGCAGUUAUUUCAGGUUAUCGCUUGGGGAUCCACGCUCUGAAUAGGUGAUAUUGGAU
rnacentral:lncRNA from 1 species